UACACCUCGGCUCCAGGCGAGGACUUAAAAACCAAGUGGUGGGGACUGCAGUCUGGAAGCAAGGCCCUGCGGUCAUCGGAGGGGGGCCAGGCCCGUGCACAGGAACCUUUUACAAGGCAUGUGGGUACAAGAAAAAAAAUCAAAAUAAACCACUUUCAUCCAGCAUGGGCAGUGAAAAGAAAAGCUGCCUUCCAGAGGGGGCGAGCGGGAGUUUUGAAAUUCAUUGUGUGUUUUGCCUUUAUAUAAGGAGUUUUGCGUUUUUUACCGAUAACCAAAGGGGGACACUAGGGGGAAGUAACUGCUAUUUUUUUUUUCUGGAGAGGGCUGAAAUAAGGGGUUCACCGGUUCUUUCACAAUCAGAUGGUGUCCCAGGACUGCAAGUAACUGCGUACAUCCACACAGCGCAUUACACCAACCUGAGAAGAAUCCUUGCGUGACCGGAUUGUUUCUGAACCUGCCGAGCCCCUGCUGCAUCUGGGACCCGCCUUCACCGUUUCCCAAUCCCAGCGGUUAGCCCCUGCGCCCCCUUUUUGGUCUCCACUUUGCCGUUCGAAAAUGCCUAGGUUGGUGGAUCGACCCUCCGCGGAGCAAAGACGGAUGGCUGGCAGGAGCAGGUUCAGGAGCUGGGCCAAGGAGUGUUUGGCCCGGCGGUCCACCCCGGCUUCCCGAGAUACGCUAGAGUUGCCCCCACGUCCUGUCCGCCGCGCCCCUACCCACCGGGUUGCCUUCGGGGCCCUUCGGUGCUGUGUAGUCGGCGUGGCGCUGUGAGCUAGGCGAACAGGAACCCCCAGGCCCGCCACGUCUACGCUAUUAGCAGCCAGGUAGCCCUGCGGGUCGAAGAUGCUCAGAGGAGGAGUAAAUGCAGAGAAAAAAUAGAGGAAGGAAUAAAAAAAAAAACAAAACAAAAACACGUAACAUACACGCACUCAAAACCAACUUUGGGAUUGGACUUUUUCAGUUUCACACGAAGAGACUUGGAGUAUCUGGAGAAGGUUUUUGAAGACGUUUAGGAGGGAGGGUGAGUUUUCUGCUGAGAAACUCAAUCUGCCAUACAGUAGCGGCCCCAUCUGGGAUCUGUCACUGCUGACAGCACCAGAGGGCACAGCCGUGAUCUUCUGCACAGCCUGCACUCCCCGAAAUACCCUCCUUAAUCAAAGGAUGUCUGCGCGCCUGAGCUCAGCUGACCGCGCCGGGAGCACCAGGGCCGUUGGAUUCCACCCCAGCCCGCCCCCUCCCCACGCACACAGCCACGGCCCCUCGCGUCUUCGCGGCACGUUAAUUAAAUGCGGAAAACAGACAGAGGCUGAUGUCAUUGCUCUCACAAGAUCAUAAACGUAAAAGAGUCAUCCUGUGAGAAUCCCUGAAAAUGACUUUAAUGAAUAAUUUCAGAGACAGUUAUGACUUUGGGUGAUUACUGAGCAAGAAUAUGAAAACCAGAUUUGCAAAGCGAAGGCGAUGGUCAAAAGGCCUGGCAGUUACUUUCUCUCAUUAAAACCGCACCGGCUUUCCUUCUUCGCCAAGUACUAGUUACCAACUGAGGUUGCGUUUUCAGGUUUUCUUCUUCAAAAUAACAGUCUUCUUUUCCUGCUUUUCUGCCUUAUCCUAAAGACAAAAUGUCAGCUCCAGGGAACGACAUUAACAACCCACUUUAAAUUGAAGGCAACUCUGCACUGGCGUCAGUGGCCAUUGGCUUCCAUCUUUUUACAAAGGUUGGAUUUACUGCCAUCUUAGGAUCAUAUCUCUUUUGGCCUCUUCUCUAGGCAAUGUAUUUAAUGAAGGUUGAACAUUCUCACUGACCCUGAGUCAGUGCACUGUUUGUUGUAAAGGAUCUCAGCUGGUGGGGCAAAAAACAAGUUCCAAACAACCUGCCUUUACAGAAGAGUCUCCCUGACUCUUUAGUUCUAGGUCACCAAUGAACUGAAAAAUGAUUUGGUGCUACAUUAAGGAAUAUUUUCAAACACUCCAUCUGGCCAUGGAGAAGCAUCCAGUUGGUUAUAUCUGGUUGCUCAUGCAUUAAAAAUACUAUUUGAGAAAACAA